rnacentral:rRNA from 1 species
ACAGCAGCCGCCGCGGUAAAACGGAGGGUGCAAGCGUUAUCCGGAUUUACUGGGUUUAAAGGGUGCGUAGGCGGACUUGUAAGUCCGAGGUGAAAUCUCUGAGCUUAACUCGGAAACUGCCUUGGAUACUAUAGGUCUUGAAUCUCGUUGAGGUUUGCGGAAUAUGUCAUGUAGCGGUGAAAUGCUUAGAUAUGACAUAGAACACCUAUUGCGAAGGCAGCAGGCUAAACGAGUAUUGACGCUGAUGCACGAAAGCGUGGGGAUCAAACAGGAUUAGAUACCCCCGUAGUCCCUGUCUCUUAUAC